AUAGCCAUUAGAAAUAGUGGAUAAUACCGAAUACGCUCAUGACCCUGUGGGGAUAUGAGGAAAACAGGCUACGGCCUGGCUCGAGGAUGGGCCCGCGUCCCAUUAGCUAGUUGGUGAGGUAACGGCCCACCAAGGCGACGAUGGGUAUCCGGCCUGAGAGGGUGUACGGACACAUUGGGACUGAGAUACGGCCCAAACUCCGUACGGGAGGCAGCAGCUAAGAAUAUUCCGCAAGUGGACGAAGUCUGACGGAGCGACGCCGCGUGGAUGAAGAAGGGCCCGGAAGGUUGUAAAAUCCUUUUGCUGAUGAAGAAUAAGUGUGGUAGGGAAUGACCGCAUGAUGACAUUAGUCGGUGAAUAAGCCCCGGCUAACUACGUGCCAGCCGCAGC
rnacentral:rRNA from 1 species